AUGAAAAGAAAAAAGGAAAAAAAAAAAGAACUUUAAAAGUACAGUGAGAUGCACGAUCUGAUAUUAUCUUCACAAGGCUCCCAUGAAAAAGACAUCUGGAUUCUUUCCAGUUUGGGCCUGUAACAAACAGUGCUGCUGUGAAGAUGUCUCCUGGACGUCACAUGCCUACCCCUCUGUAAGAGACAAGGUCACGCUAUGUUGCCCAGGCUGGUCUCAAACUCCUCAGCUGAAGUGAUCCUCCCACCUUCGCCUCCAAAACUGCUGGAAUUACAGGCAUGAGCCACCAUACAUGGGCCAGUAUGUACUCUUUUUUAUUUUUUGAGACAGUUUCUCACUUUGUUGUCCAGGCUGCAGUGCACUGGAACGGUCAUGGCCCACUACAGCCUUGACCUCCCAGGCUCAGUUGAUCCUCCCACCUCAGCCUCCUGAGUAGCUUAGACUACAGGCCCAUUCCACCACACCUGGCUAAUAUUUUGUACUUUUUUAGAGAUGGGGUUUCACCACAUCCUCAAGCUGGUCUCAAACUCCUGGCCUCAAGCAGUCCAUCCUCCUCAGCCUCCCAAAGUGCUGGGAUUACAGGUCUGAGCCACCACGCCCAGCCAUGUACUCUUUGUGUCUAGCUUUUUUAAUUCAACAUUGUGUCUGCAAGAUUCACCCAUGUUAUUGCAUAUACCUGUAUCACAUAAUCUUUCACUGUUGCACUGUUUUCCACUGUAUGAAUAUACCACAAUUUAUUUACACUUUAUAUCAUUGAUUAGCAUUUGUAUUGUUUGUAGUUUUGGGCUAUUAUAAAUGUGCCCAUUAUGACAGUCUUGUUCAUGUCUUGUGAGUGUGUACCCAAUUUCUCUUGGACAUAAACACCUAGGAAUGCAAUUGCUACAUUAUAGGAAAUGUAAAUGUUGAGUUUUAAUAAACACUACCAAGCAGUUUUUCAAAAUGAAUCUACAAUUUUAUACCCUCACCAGCAUUGUAUGAGAGAGAGUGCCCCACUUGCUCUACAUCCUCACCAACAUUUGGUGUUGUCUGUCUUUUUUAUUUUAGCCAUUCUGGUGAGUCUCUAGUGAUACCUAUUGGAGUUUUAAAAUACAUUUUCCUAUCAGCUAAUGAGCAGAUUUUCAUGUGCUUAUUGGCCACCCUGGUUUUUUUAAUGGUAGACCUUUAAUUUCCUUUCUAAUCUGCUAAUAAUUAUUUCUGUCC
rnacentral:lncRNA from 1 species